rnacentral:piRNA from 1 species
UUGUUUUGUAACAUCUGUUAUAUAGU